CCUACGGGCGGCUGCAGUGAGGAAUAUUGGUCAAUGGACGAGAGUCUGAACCAGCCAAGUAGCGUGAAGGAUGACUGCCCUAUGGGUUGUAAACUUCUUUUAUAAGGGAAUAAAGUGAGGGACGUGUCCCUUUUUGUAUGUACCUUAUGAAUAAGGAUCGGCUAACUCCGUGCCAGCAGCCGCGGUAAUACGGAGGAUCCAAGCGUUAUCCGGAUUUAUUGGGUUUAAAGGGAGCGUAGGUUGACAUAUAAGUCAGCUGUGAAAGUUUACGGCUCAACCGUGAAAUUGCAGUUGAUACUGUAUGUCUUGAGUGUACAAGAGGUGGGCGGAAUUCGUGGUGUAGCGGUGAAAUGCUUAGAUAUCACGAAGAACUCCAAUUGCGAAGGCAGCUCACUGGGGUACAACUGACACUGAGGCUCGAAAGUGUGGGUAUCAAA
rnacentral:rRNA from 1 species